UGCUCUCCCGGCCCCCUUUGCCGCUGUGCCGCGUCCCCUACCCCUCUCCUCCUCCCCACCCCCACCCCCACCGCGCAUUUCCCGCGCCUUUAUGGAAACGUAAACAACCAGUGAAAAUCAGCGUUUCUGCCAAAUACCGACAAUACCUACUCAUAUAAUUAUUGAGCAUAGGAUUUUAACCAGAAUUUUAGAGUGGACAUCGCCGCUGUUCGAUAUUAAUCAUAAGGAACUCGGCCCAGAAAUGUUCUUGACAUGAGCAAGAGAAGUCUAUGGAGUCAUUUUACCCAAAAGAAUAGG